UACGUAGGGGGCAAGCGUUGUCCGGAAUUACUGGGCGUAAAGCGUGCGCAGGCGGUUCGGAAAGAAAGGUGUGAAAUCCCAGGGCUUAACCUUGGAACUGCACUUUUAACUACCGGGCUAGAGUACGUCAGAGGGGGGUAGAAUUCCACGUGUAGCAGUGAAAUGCGUAGAGAUGUGGAGGAAUACCGAUGGCGAAGGCAGCCCCCUGGGAUGAUACUGACGCUCAUGCACGAAAGCGUGGGGAGCAAACAGG
rnacentral:rRNA from 1 species